UCUGUUUUAAAUUCACCAAUAAAGAGUAAGCCCUCAAAAUCCUAGGCCCCCACCCCCAUAAAAGCAGGACCCAGGCCUGUGCACUCUCUCUCUAUCCUCACGGCCUUGCUAUGUGGCCCCCGGUGUGCUGUGCAACUUCCAGGUCUGUUGAGGACACAGAGACCCUAUGGAUGGCUACUUCAAAGAUAGAAACCCGGGUCCCUGUACCACCAAAUGGUCAACCAGAAACACAUCCACUGGCUGCUAUGUGAGGGAAGAAAAUACACUUCUGUUGUGUUAACCUACCAAAAUUGAGGAUUCAUUCCAAUUGAGUUAUUCCAAUUAUGUUAUUAGCAUUCCUCUAACUAAUAAUAUGAAUAUGCCAUUCCUUUUUGAAAGAAAUAUUUCACUCAAUGACUGACAAUGUUAGGAUUGUUGAUUUUGCUUUGGAAUUACCACAAAGGCAAGAAUUUAAUUAGCACAUGCUCUGUGGGAAAAGGGUGAGGUCAGAAGAAGUGAUAAAGCAGGAAAUCUAAUCCUCUCAGUCAGGGGUCAGGAAAUUUUUACCGUAAAAGUUAAGACAGUAAGUAUGUUCAGCUUUGUGGGCCACAUGGAUCUCUGUUGCAUAGUCUUUUGUUUUUUUAACAACUCUUUAAAAAUGUAAAAAUCUUUCCUAGCUCAUAAGCUACAAGAUAACAGACCUUGGACAAGAUCUGGCCCAUGGGCCCAAGAUUACCAAUGUCUACUCUAAGUGACUGGAGGAUGUAGGACUUGAAUCUCAUGCUGAUGAGUAAGACCCCUCUAGGGGACAUGAAUGGAUGCAUUCUACUUUAAGGCUAUGAAUUCCUUGAAGAUUGUUGGAGAAGGUCAUGGAGAAGAUGUGACCAAUAGUUGACCCAAGAGGUGGACCUGGGCAAUUGGAGGUUCCUCCUCUCCUCUUCUGUCUUUGGAAUGUACAUUCUUCCCACAGUUCCCACAGUUGGAUCCAUUUUCAAGGACACAGCCUUGAGAGAGCAAUGCAUUAUUGAGACUAUCUGAGUGGCAUAUGUAACUGAACCCCCAUUGAGGCUUCUACAUAAAUUUUCAAGAUUCUGGUGGGUGGGUGCUAAGAUCUACUCAUCAUCUUGAGGCUGCCCAAAACAAGCCUCGUGUGCAAGUUCCCUUGAUUAUUAAAACUGCCACCUACCAAUCUGGAGGGGACUGCUUCUUUCUUUGGUCUCUCCUUGCCCUCUGUGUAUGCAGACCAGUUCUGGAUUUCACUUGAGAAGCUCUCGAGUUCAAGAACCAACAAAGAAUACCCUAAAGGGAACCCAUUAGGACCCACUAUAAGCAGAGGACAGGAAGUGAUGCUCCAUAUAAAGAUGAAGAAACCAAGUCCACUGGCUGAUAAAUGACAGAGCUGGAACCAGACCUCAAGUCUCCUAAUGUUUAUUCAGUGCCUCUACUGAUGCUUGGUGAUAAAAAUGUAUCAAUGUAUAAUGUAGUUAGUAUGAUGCUUCAUUUCAUGUGUUAACUUGACUGGGCCGUGGAAAAAUCAGAUAUUUCCUCAAACAUUGUGUUGGUGUUUCUGUGAGAGUGUUUUUUGGAUGAGAUUAGCAUUUAAAUUGGUAGAUUGAAUACAGCAGUCUCUGUGUGUGUAUAUGUAUGUACACACACGUGUAUGUAUACAUAUAUGUAUAUGUAGAUAGGUAUAUCCUACUGGUUCUGUUUCUUCUCUGGAGAACUCUGGCUAAUACAGUUAGCCUCUCUGAAUUAGCACAGGUGGCAUUAAAGUUUCAUUUGGGGUUUUACAAAGCUUAAAACCAGGUGAACAAAGUUAAAGGCACAAAUGACUGACUUUAAUGCACACAGAAGAAUAACGUAUAAUUUAUUGUAUGGCCUCUGUCGUUUAUAAAGAAAUUGUAUUAUCUUCUAGACUAGAGUCAUUCCACGUUUUUGUUGCAUAGCCUCUAAACUAAUUUUGAAAAACUAUUGCCCACUCAAAUAUUUUUAUAUAAAUAUCUAAAACUGGUUAACAUACUUUUAAAUAUUUGCAAAGGAUAUAUAUUUGUUGUAUCAUGUACUGUGUAUGAGGAUUAAAUCUAUUUUCAUCAAACUGCUGGAGCUGCAGGUUUACCUCAUUCCUUAAAGGAAAAUGUCCACUGCACAGACAGAUCGACAUGGAGUCUUCCUUCCCAUGUUUACCAAAUCAAACUUAUGUCCUUUCAGAAAAUAGUCUGAAUUCAUGUUUUAUUUCAAAUAAACAUGAUGAUAGAUAUCCACAUAACAGUUUUAUCACAUCUGAAUUCUAUUUCCAAGACAGAUAGAUAGAUAGAUGGAUAGAUAGAUGAUAGAUAGACAGAUGAUAGAUAGAUGGAUGAUAGAUAGGUAGAUAGAUAGAUGAUAGAUAGAUAGAUGAUAGGUAGGUUGAUAGGUAGUAGGUAGGUAGAUAGAUAAAUAGACAGAU
ensembl:lncRNA